rnacentral:rRNA from 1 species
UACGUAGGGUGCGAGCGUUGUCCGGAAUUAUUGGGCGUAAAGGGCUCGUAGGCGGUUUGUCGCGUCGGGAGUGAAAUCCACUGGCUUAACUGGUGGCUUGCUUCCGAUACGGGCAGACUAGAGGUAUGCAGGGGAGAAUGGAAUUCCUGGUGUAGCGGUGGAAUGCGCAGAUAUCAGGAGGAACACCGAUGGCGAAGGCAGGUCUCUGGGCCACUACUGACGCUGAGAAGCGAAAGCAUGGGGAGCGAACAGG